rnacentral:rRNA from 1 species
GACGAACGCUGGCGGCGUGCUUAACACAUGCAAGUCGAACGGAAAGGCCCUGCUUUUGUGGGGUGCUCGAGUGGCGAACGGGUGAGUAACACGUGAGUAACCUGCCCUUGACUUUGGGAUAACUUCAGGAAACUGGGGCUAAUCCCGGAUAGGAGCUCCUGCUGCAUGGUGGGGGUUGGAACGUUUCGGCGGUUGGGGAUGGACUCGCGGCUUAUCAGCUUGUUGGUGGGGUAGUUGCUUACCAAGGGUUUGACGGGUAGCCGGCCUGGGAGGGUGACCGGCCACAUUGGGACUGAGGUACGGCCCAGACGGGUACGGGGGGCAGCAGGGGGGAGUAUUGCACAAUGGGCGGAAGUCGGAUGCAGCGACGCCGCGUGCGGGAUGACGGCCUUCGGGUUGUAAACCGCUGUCGCCUGUGACGAAGCGGGAGUGACGGUAAUGGGUAAAGAAGCACCGGCUAACUACGUG